rnacentral:rRNA from 1 species
GGGUCCGCACAAGCGGUGGAGCAUGUGGUUUAAUUCGAUGAUACGCGAGGAACCUUACCUAGGCUAGAAUGUGAGAGAAUCACUCAGAGAUGGGUGAGCUAGCAAUAGCUCGAAACAAGGUGCUGCAUGGCCGUCGUCAGUUCGUGCCGUGAGGUGUUGGGUUAAGUCCCGCAACGAACGCAACCCCUAUAUUCUGUUGCCAGCAUGUUAAGAUGGGGACUCAGAAUAGACUGCCUACGCAAGUAGAGAGGAAGGAGGGGACGACGUCAGGUCAUCAUGGCCCUUACGCCUAGGGCGACACACGUGCUACAAUGGGGGAUACAGAGUGUUGCUAGCCAGUAAUGGUCUGCCAAUCACAAAAAGUCCUUCACAGUUCGGAUUGGGGUCUGCAACUCGACCCUAUGAAGCUGGAAUCGCUAGUAAUCGCAUAUCAGCCAUGAUGCGGUGAAUACGUUCCCGGACCUU